rnacentral:rRNA from 1 species
UAAGGAAUAUUGCUCAAUGGGAGAAAUCCUGAAGCAGCAACGCCGCGUGGAGGAUGAAGGGUCUAUGACUUGUAAACUCCUGUAAAGAAGGAAAAAAUUCCCAUUUGAUGGGAGAUGAUGGUACUUCUGGAGUAAGCCCCGGCUAACUACGUGCCAGCAGCCGCGGUACUACGUAGGGGGCAAGCGUUGUCCGGAUUUACUGGGUGUAAAGGGUGCUCAGGCGGAUUUGUAAGUCAGAGGUGAAAUCUUACAGCUGAACUGUGAAACUGCCUUUGAUACUGCAAGCCUAGAGUAUGGAAGAGAGCGAUGGAAUAUCUGGUGUAGCAGUGAAAUGCGUAGAUAUCAGAUAGAACACCAAUGGCGAAGGCAGUCACUUGGUCCAUUACUGACGCUAAAGCACGAAAGCGUGGGUAGCAGACA